UACGUAGGUGGCAAGCGUUCUCCGGAUUUACUGGGCGUAAAGAGCGCGCAGGCGGUCGAUCAAGUCGCGUGUGAAAGCCCCCGGCUCAACUGGGGAGGGUCACGCGAUACUGAUCGACUGGAAGGCAGGAGAGGGUAGUGGAAUUCCCGGUGUAGUGGUGAAAUUCGUAGAUAUUCGCAAGAACACCAGUGGCGAAGGCGGCUCACUGGCCCGAUACUGACGCUGAGGCACGAAAGCGUGGGGAGCAAACAGG
rnacentral:rRNA from 1 species